rnacentral:rRNA from 1 species
CUAGCAUAUCAAUAAGCGGAGGAAAAGAAACCAACAGGGAUUGCCCCAGUAACGGCGAGUGAAGCGGCAACAGCUCAAAUUUGAAAUCUGGCCCCCCGGCCCGAGUUGUAAUUUGGAGAGGAUGCUUUUGGCGCGGCGCCGUCCGAGUUCCUUGGAACAGGACGCCACAGAGGGUGAGAGCCCCGUACGGACGGACGCCUAGCCUCUACAAAGCUCCUUCGACGAGUCGAGUAGUUUGGGAAUGCUGCUCAAAAUGGGAGGUAAAUUUCUUCUAAAGCUAAAUACCGGCCAGAGACCGAUAGCGCACAAGUAGAGUGAUCGAAAGAUGAAAAGCACUUUGAAAAGAGGGUUAAAAAGUACGUGAAAUUGUUGAAAGGGAAGCGCCUGUGACCAGACUUGCGCCCCGUGGACCACCCGGCGUUCUCGCCGGUGCACUCCGCGGGGCGCAGGCCAGCAUCGGUUCUCCUAGGGGGAUAAAGGCCGCGGGAACGUAGCUCCUUCGGGAGUGUUAUAGCCCGUGGUGGCAUGCCCCUGGGGGGACCGAGGACCGCGCUUCGGCAAGGAUGCUGGCGUAAUGGUCACCAGCGACCCGUCUUGAAACACGGACCAAGGAGUCAAGCAUUGGGGCGAGUGUAUGGGUGCCAAACCCGCACGCGAAAUGAAAGUAAACGCAGGUGAGAGCUUCGGCGCAUCAUCGACCGAUCCUGAUGUCUUCGGAUGGAUUUGAGUAAGAGCCUUACCGCUUGGACCCGAAAGAUGGUGAACUAUGCCUGAAUAGGGUGAAGCCAGAGGAAACUCUGGUGGAGGCUCGCAGCGGUUCUGACGUGCAAAUCGAUCGUCAAAUUUGGGCAUGGGGGCGAAAGACUAAUCGAACCAUCACUAGCU